AGAGUUUGAUCCUGGCUCAGGAUGAACGCUAGCGGCAGGCCUAAUACAUGCAAGUCGAGGGGCAGCACGAAUAGCAAUAUUUGGUGGCGACCGGCGCACGGGUGCGUAACGCGUAUGCAACCUACCUUUUACUGGGGGAUAGCUCCGAGAAAUCGGGAUUAAUACCUCAUAAUAAGUUUUACCGGCAUCGGUAGAACUUUAAAGCUCCGGCGGUAAGAGAUGGGCAUGCGUGCCAUUAGCUAGUUGGUGAGGUAACGGCUCACCAAGGCAACGAUGGCUAGGGGGUGUGAGAGCAUGGCCCCCCACACGGGUACUGAGACACGGACCCGACUCCUACGGGAGGCAGCAGUAAGGAAUAUUGGACAAUGGGCAAAGCCUGAUCCAGCCAUGCCGCGUGAAGGAUGAAGGCGCUCAGCGUUGUAAACUUCUUUUGGAUGGGAACAAUAACCACGACUUGUCGUGACUUGAGGGUACCAUCAGAAUAAGCACCGGCU
rnacentral:rRNA from 1 species